rnacentral:rRNA from 1 species
AGCAGCCGCGGUAAUUCCAGCUCCAAUAGCGUAUAUUAAAGUUGUUGCAGUUAAAAAGCUCGUAGUUGAAUUUCGGGGUCAGUAGGUUGGUCAUGCCUCCGGUAUGUACUGGUCUCACUGAUUCCUCCUUCCUGAUGAGCCGUAAUGCCAUUAAUUUGGUGUUGCAGAGAAUCUGGACUGUUACUUUGAAAAAAUUAGAGUGUUUAAAGCAGGCUAACGCUUGAAUACAUUAGCAUGGAAUAAUGGAAUAGGACGUUCGAUCCUAUUUUGUUGGUUUCUAGGAUUGACGUAAUGAUUAAUAGGGAUAGUUGGGGGCAUUAGUAUUCAAUUGUCAGAGGUGAAAUUCUUGGAUUUAUUGAAGACUAACUACUGCGAAAGCAUUUGCCAAGGAUGUUUUCAUUAAUCAAGAACGAAAGUUAGGGGAUCGAAGACGAUCAGAUACCGUCGUAG